rnacentral:rRNA from 1 species
CCUACGGGAGGCAGCAGUGGGGAAUUUUGGACAAUGGGCGCAAGCCUGAUCCAGCAAUGCCGCGUGAGUGAAGAAGGCCUUCGGGUUGUAAAGCUCUUUUGUCAGGGAAGAAACGGUGGAGGUUAAUACCUUCCACUAAUGACGGUACCUGAAGAAUAAGCACCGGCUAACUACGUGCCAGCAGCCGCGGUAAUACGUAGGGUGCAAGCGUUAAUCGGAAUUACUGGGCGUAAAGCGUGCGCAGGCGGUUUUGUAAGUCUGUCGUGAAAUCCCCGGGCUCAACCUGGGAAUUGCGAUGGAGACUGCAAGGCUAGAAUCUGGCAGAGGGGGGUAGAAUUCCACGUGUAGCAGUGAAAUGCGUAGAGAUGUGGAGGAACACCGAUGGCGAAGGCAGCCCCCUGGGUCAAGAUUGACGCUCAUGCACGAAAGCGUGGGGAGCAAACAGGAUUAGAUACCCUGGUAGUCCACGCCCUAAACGAUGUCUACUAGUUGUCGGGUUUUAAUUAACUUGGUAACGCAGCUAACGCGUGAAGUAGACCGCCUGGGGAGUACGGUCGCAAGAUUAAAACUCAAAGGAAUUGACGGGGACCCGCACAAGCGGUGGAUGAUGUGGAUUAAUUCAAUGCAACGCAAAAAACCUUACCUACCCUUGACAUGUACGGAGGCCACUAGAUAUCGAGGCGUGCUCGAAGAGAGCCUAACACAGGUGCUGGCAUGGCUGUCGUCAACUCGUGUCGUGGUAUGUUGGGAUGAUCCCGAACGAGUGCAGGCUCAACGCUAUUUGUCACCUUCAUUGGGAACUCUCGCGGAACCUCGGUGAUAGCCGGAGAAAGUGGGUAGGAACUUUACUCUACCGGGCCCUUAUGGAUGGGGCUAAAAACGU